rnacentral:rRNA from 1 species
GAUGAACGCUGGCGGCGUGCCUAAUACAUGCAAGUAGAACGCUGAAGGAGGAGCUUGCUCUUCUGGAUGAGUUGCGAACGGGUGAGUAACGCGUAGGUAACCUGCCUGGUAGCGGGGGAUAACUAUUGGAAACGAUAGCUAAUACCGCAUGACAACAGUUAUUGCAUGAUAACUGUUUAAAAGGGGCAACUGCUCCACUACCAGAUGGACCUGCGUUGUAUUAGCUAGUUGGUGAGGUAACGGCUCCCAAGGCGACGAUACAUAGCCGACCUGAGAGGGUGAUCGGCCACACUGGGACUGAGACACGGCCCAGACUCCUACGGGAGGCAGCAGUAGGGAAUCUUCGGCAAUGGACGGAAGUCUGACCGAGCAACGCCGCGUGAGUGAAGAAGGUUUUCGGAUCGUAAAGCUCUGUUGUAAGAGAAGAACGAGUGUGAGAGUGGAAAGUUCACACUGUGACGGUAUCUUACCAGAAAGGGACGGCUAACUACGUG